CGGUAAUGUGUUUAAUACUGCGGGCCUAGAAGUUAAGUUAUUAUAACGCAGAAACACGCGACUUAGAUUUUAAUGCGAUGUUAGCCUCUUUAGCUGAAGCUGAAGCGGGUGACGUGGUUCUUUUCCAUGGUUGCUGC
rnacentral:tRNA from 1 species